UUGAUAAUUUGAUUCAUGGAAUUGUAGGAAGCAAUCCAAUAGAGAAUCAGCGAGGAGAUCAAGAAGAAGGAAGCAAGCUCAAUUGAGUGAUCUUGAGUCACAGGUCGAUCAAUUGAAAAUUGAAAAUGCAGAUUUAUUCAAACAGUUCACAGAUAUAAAUCACCAAUAUAGCAACGCUGCCACUAACAACAGGAUACUCAAGUCUGAAGUCGAAGCCCUCAGAGCAAAGGUAAAGAUGGCAAGGGACAUGGUUGAAAGGGGAACAUCUCCAAGUGCCAUGGAUUUUCAAGCCAGUAAUACUAAUUACCAUAUGCCUUGUAUUGACAACAAUCCCUUGUACAAUGCGGGUUUAAUGGGAGUCCGCCAAGAGGCCAUAACUAGUACCACUGCUAAUAAUAGUAAUAAUGUAGAUGAUGUUUGUAAGAUAAAUGGGGCAGUGGAGAGAAGAGUGAGUGUGGAGCAGAUGGUGCACAAGAGGAUGUGUGGAGGCACACCAAGCCUCCUCUCAAUGACCUUGCCAUGGCACUUAAAUGGGAUCUCAGCUCCUAAGCACGGUUGAACGCAAUUUCUUCAAAACUUAUAAAUAACCUUUAGUGCCUUUAGUCGGACGAAUCGAACCAGGGGGAUAACAGUGUUGUACUGCAGGCCCGGCCUGGAAGAUGUGGUCCUAUUGACAAAAUAGAGUGGAAUGGACCAUGGCCACCAUGUUUUUUGGACCUUUUUAUUUCUCAGCUUGUGAAAGAAUUUGCUUUGAGUUAUACCGCAUAUCCUAAGAUGCUGAAAAUUUAUUGGAAAUUACAUGUGGAUUUUGAACUGGAUCUGUGAUUUGAAGAUUACCUUGGCUUUA